ensembl:lncRNA
CCUGGUCUCCUCCUGGUCUUCACCUCCUCCUCCUGGUCUCCUCCUCCUCCUCCUGUUCUCCUCCUCCUGGUCUCCACCUCCUCCUGUUCUUCACCACCUCCUCCUCCUGGUCUUCACCUCCUCCUCCUGGUCUUCACCACCUCCUUCUCCUGGUCUUCACCCCCUCCUCCUCCUGAUCUCCUCCUCCUGGUCUUCACCACCUCCUCCUCCUGGUCUUCACCUCCUCCUCCUCCUGGUCUCCUCCUGGUCUUCACCUCCUCCUCCUCCUGGUCUCCUACUCCUCCUCCUGGUCUUCACCACCUCCUGCUCCUGGUCUUCACCACCUCCUCCUCCUGGUCUUCACCUCCUCCUCCUGGUCUCCUCCUGGUCUUCACCUCCUCCUCCUGGUCUCCUACUCCUCCUCCUGGUCUUCACCUCCUCCUCCUCCUCCUGGUCUCUUCCUCCUCCGCCUGGUCUCCUCCUCCUCUGCCUGGUCUCCUCCUCCUCUAGGUCUUCACCUCCUCCUCCUCUAGGUCUUCACCUCCUCUAGGUCUUCACCUCCUCCUCCUCUAGGUCUUCACCACUUAGAACACAAACAGAUUGUAGAGAGAGAGAGACAGCGAGUAAUCCAGCUACUCACUUACCCACCCAUCCCCCCAACCAACCAACCAACCAACCAACCAACCCACCAGAACACUAGUGAAACCGUGUCUAGUGUCCGUCCAAGUGUGACUGACAGGGUCCUCCUGACCAGGUAUGGAACCGUGUGUUACAUCUUCUCUGCUGUUAUGUUCCACUCAAAACCAUGACCCGCGUUUAGCAGUAAAAAACAUGACCCACGUUUAGCAGUAAAACCAUGACCCGCGUUUAGCAGUAAAAAACAAAACCAUGACCCACGUUUAGCAGUAAAAACCAUGACCCACGUUUAGCAGUAAAACCAUGACCCGCGUUUAGCAGUAAAAAACAAAACCAUGACCCACGUUUAGCAUUAAACAACCAUGACCCACGUUUAGCAGUAAAAACAUGACCCGUGUUUAGCAGUAAAAACCAUGACCCACGUUUAGUAGUAAAAAACCAUGACCCGCGUUGAGCAGUAAAAAAACAUGACCCGUGUUUAGCAGUAAAAACCAAAACCAUGACCCACAUUUAGCAGUAAACAACCAUGACCCACGUUUAGCAUAAAACAACCAUGACCCGUGUUUAGCAGUAAAAAACAAAAACAUGACCCUUGUUUAGCAGUAAAAAAACAUGCCCCACGUUUAGCAGUAAAACAACAUGCCCCGCGUUUAGCAGUAAAACAACAUGCCCCGCGUUUAGCAGUAAAAACAACAUGCCCCGCGUUUAGCAGUAAAAACAACAUGCCCCGCGUUUAGCAGUAAAAACAACAUGCCCCGCGUUUAGCAGUAAAAACAACAUGCCCCGCGUUUAGCAGUAAAAACAACAUGCCCCGCGUUUAGCAGUAAAACAACAUGCCCCGCGUUUAGCAGUAAA